AAUAAAAAGAAUAUGCAACAAAAUAUAAACUUGUUAUGUAUGUAUAGGAAAAGUGAAUGAAAUUGUUAUGUAUUUAUAAGGAAAACAUCCAUAAUUUUUUGGCAUUUUUUUUAAAAAAAUAUUUUGAUUUUGAUUUUUUUUUUUUCCAUUUUUUUAAAAUUUUUUUGAAUUUUGUUUUACUCACUGACUUCAGCGCCCUUGGGCUGAAGUCCAGGCAAAAUCUGCCCUCGAGCUUGCCCGGGCUGAUGAGACCCAGGGCUUGCCCGGGCUGCAAUGCUGCGCUGGAGGUCCAAAAUCGAGGGAAUGAGCCUCUUGCUGGCUAAAGUUGCAACGGUGGAGAUGCUCUUAUAUAUAUAUAUAUAUAUAGAUAAACAAUAAUAUAGCUGAGGUGGUGGUUGUUAUCUCAGCACCACUGCGUACACCACCCUUACACAACCCUUACACCAACAUUGUCACAACCACAAUACCACCACCAUCAUUAAAAUAAGGGAGAUUCACUAUUAUACCCAAUAUGGGGGCCCAAAUUAUAAAAAUAUCAUAUAUAAAAUGGACCUUAGAAACACACCCAAAGCCCAU
rnacentral:lncRNA from 1 species